rnacentral:lncRNA from 1 species
CGUUGAGCCGCGUUGUGCGCCCGGCGUUGGGGAGCCGGGCGUUAUUUUGGCCCGGUCUGUCAGACCUUCUGCUCGAGGCUUAGGAAAAAAACGAGUUCUGCAGUUCCCUCCGGCUGAAUGGCUCUGAGUGUGGGCUGCUGUGCUCCAGCGUCCCCAGCUGUGCCUCCGUGGUUGUCUUCUGAGGCUACAAGGACCAAAGUGGGCAUCCUCGUGUGGUGGCCAACAGUGGAGGCUCAAGGUGCACCUGAGAGGAGAGCUGAGGCGCUGCAGCAGGAACAGCCACCAGCACAUCGCUGCGGAUGGGAGGGAGGAAGGGCAGAGGCAGCACAGUGCCCAGCAGCCCUCAGGGAUCGGGGUGCACCCGGGGUCAUCCUGUGCUCCUUCCCCCAGCGCUGACAUGGGAACGGCCCCAGUGCAGCCACCCACCGCCGCUCGCUGUGAUCCAGGGUCCUGAGCUGACCUCGCUCUGCUGCACCCACGCAGGGCAGGGAUGGCUGAAUUACUGCUCCCUGCUGCGCUCUGUACAUCCUCCUCCUGGCCGGGUGGCCUCAGGAUCUGUGGGGCUGGAUGGCUGCGUGCUCUCAGGUCAAACAGUAGCUCCAUUUUUUCCCUUGUGAAGGACCAAGAGCUUGCCCUGGUUCCAAGGAAGUAGCUGUGGAUUUUAAUUUAAUUUUAUUUUUUCCCUCCUCCGUUCUUCUUUCUGAAUCUUUUUGGGAUUUUGGGCUCUUAAUGAGGAUGCUUGGACCAGCACAGGGUGCAGCCCCAUGCAGAGGGGUGAACGCCUCUGGAGAAGCAAUGGGAGCAGCACACCAAGAGCUGGCAACCGCAGUGCCUUGGGUCUGAAACUGGGAGCUGUGUCCCUUCACAUCGCAUGGCUGCAUCCUCCCCAGCACAUCCCAUAGGGAUUAGGUGGGAUUCUGGGGGGCGCAAGGCCAAACCGCAGUGAGGGGAACGUCAAGAAGGGAAAAAUGUCACCCUCAGAAACAAUUAAACUGCUUAAUAAAAUCCGUUGCCUCUCGGAGUGCUCGCUGUUCUUUUCCGUUUGCCUUGGCUCAGCCACACUUACAUCAUGGCCCUAUCGCGGUGCUGCCGAGUGGACGGGUUUGAUUGCACAGGAAACCGGCGCUUUGGCAAACUUCUCUGCCCCGGUAAAGCCAGGCCAAGAGCUUAAUGCCUUUGCUUUGCAGAAAAAAAUCUUCCCUGUCCUUUCCCUCUUUCCUUUCUGCAACCCCUUAACCAUCACCCGCCAACUAGGCGGCCACCCCUCACAUGCCUCCUGCUCCAAAGCGCCUGAGAUGCAGAUUAAUUCCCCUUAAAUCAUGUUGUUUCACGUCCGUGGACCGUGUGUCCCCUCCCACCCUGUAGAGCUGAAGCACUGGAAGGUGCUGUGUGGAAACUGCAACGUUAAAAAAGGAUAUUUAUGUAAUGGAAAUGUCCUUUGAUUUUUUUUUUUUUAAGAGUUAUG